AGCAAAACAAACAAUUUUCAAGUCGCUGAAACUUUAUGCAGUACUUUAAGUUUGAAUAGGAACACGAAAAAAAGGGGGCUGAGCUGAGCGAAGGCAAAGUUUUGUUGCUUAACACCAUCUAUCCGCAAUAUUUUACUUUAACACUCCGUAUAUGUGUUGGCGCUGUGUUUACUGGAAUUUCCCCAAGCGUGUUCUAAUAAACUGGAAACUUAAAUAAAGCUCAUCGACCAAAGGCGGUAGAAAAAGUGAGGGCAGGGCAAACAAUGAAAUGCCAUAGACAUUCCGCAUUGGGAAAGACAAAAGCGGAUGAAAAAGAGCAAAACACAGAACACAGAAAAGCAAAAACUCAAUCGAAAAGAAAAGAAAAGUAAAGAAUGAGACACACACACACACAUACAUACGAACGCCAAGGGACACGUGAAUGGAUAUCUAUAUUUAUUAUUUUUAUGACAAUCCCUUAGGAAAUGUGCCAUCAUAAAUUGCGCAAUAUAUUUUUAUAAGGCGUGUAAUAAUUGUAGAGUAGCAACACCAACAACAACGAAUCAAAUCGAGAGUCAGAUAAUAAAAUUUACUCUCAAUUGAAUUUGUAGCUAUGAAAAGCAAAUAAACGUCGAGCAUUGUCCACCUCUCCACUUGAUUAGAU